rnacentral:rRNA from 1 species
GAACAUAUUGCAAACUACUUUUUGAACAUUUUCUCCACCACGGUGACAGGGAGCAACAUCGAGGAAGUUAUGCAUGUUGUACAACCGAGGGUGACUGAGAGCAUGAACAAUGUUUUGUGUGCUGAGUACACUGAAGAAGAGGUUAAAGCAGCACUAAAUGGUAUGGGUGACCUCAAAGCCCCGGGUCCCGAUGGAAUGCCUGCUAUUUUUUUCAAAAAGUUUUGGCAAAUUGUCGGAGAACAAGUGGUCAAGGAAGUGCUUCAUAUUCUGAGGGGAGGAAACAUGCCAGAGGGCUGGAAUGAUACACUUAUUGUGCUAAUCCCGAAAAAUAACAAUCCAGUGAAGAUUAAUGAUAUGAGACCAAUAAGCCUAUGUAAUGUGGUAUACAAGCUGGUCUCCAAGAGGAAAAGAAAUGGCUCAGUAGGUUAUGCAGCAAUAAAACUAGACAUGAGCAAGGCAUACGACCGUGUCGAAUGGACCUUCUUAAAGGAGAUGAUGCAUAGACUGGGUUUCGAUGAAGGGUGGAUGAAUUUGAUAAUGAAGUGCAUCUCCACUGUCAAAUACAAGAUUAAAGUGAAUGGGGAUGUAACCGAAACAAUCACACCCCAAAGGGGACUUCGUCAAGGGGAUCCACUUUCCCCAUAUCUGUUUCUACUUUGUGCGGAAGGGUUCUCAGCCAUGCUGCACAAUGCUGAAAGGAGAGGGUUAAUUAGAGGAAUUAAAAUAUGCAGAGGAGCUCCUAGUGUUAGUCACCUACUUUUUGCAGAUGAUUCUCUGCUGCUAAUGGAGGCUAGUGCAAGCAGUGCUCAAGAAGUUGAACGCAUUUUGAACAUAUAUGGAAGCUGCUCAGGGCAAAUGAUAAACAAGGACAAGUCAUCCAUUUUAUUCAGUAAAAAUACGAGGCCUUGGCAAAAGGAAGAAAUGAAGAGGACAUUGAACAUUAUAACUGAGGGCCUUGCAUCAAAAUAUUUAGGUCUUCCAACAUAUGUUGGCAAAGCAAAAGCGAAGAUGUUUGAAUAUGUAAAGGAAAGAAUAUGGAAAAGGAUUCAAGGUUGGAAGGAGAAACUACUUUCGAAGGCAGGGAAAGAAAUUCUAAUAAAAGUCGUGGCACAAGCUAUUCCUGUCUACAGCAUGGCGUGCUUUGAUCUCACCAAGGGCCUAUGUGAAGAACUGAGCACCAUGAUUAAUAGGUAUUGGUGGAGCCAAAUGGAUAAGGAAAAUAAAGUGCAUUGGGUCAGCUGGGAGAGGCUUACUAGAUCAAAAAGAAAUGGAGGCUUGGGAUUUAGGGAUCUACAUGCGUUCAAUCUGGCAAUGCUGGCAAGACAAGCAUGGAGGCUGCUCCAAAACCCCUCCUCUCUUUGUGCCCAGGUUCUUUCAAGUAGAUACUACCCAGGAUGUUCAAUUCUGCGGGCGAGACCAAGUAGUGGCAUUUCUUAUGCAUGGCGCAGCAUACUAAAGGGUGUUGAGCUGCUG